GAGCUCACUUUGACAGCACGUUUACUAAAAUUGGAACAAUACAAAGACCAUUAGAAUGGCUCCUGUGCAAAGAUAAAAUGCAGAUCCAUGAUGCAUUCUAUAUUUUU
ensembl:snRNA U6 U6 spliceosomal RNA